GGCUCCGGCGGGAAGGCGGAGCAGUUGGAGAGCGUGAGGGGAAGCGUGGUCUCUCCCGGAAAAACCACAAUCACCAGGAGCGCUGAGCGAGAACCCCUCCUCAAGGGAACUUGGCCUAGGGGGACGAGAUGGACUGCACUUUCUCCUCCGGUUCAUGUAUUCAUACUCCUCGUCGUCGUCAUCUUCUUCAGUACCCAGGACAGAACUGAGACCCACUGAAGAAAGGGUGCCUUCCCGGGAGGAGGUACCUGAGGGUUGAGAAGAGAGGCUAGGUUUUCAGUCCAAUGAAGCAAUAAUGGAGUAAAAAAAAAAAAAGGCUGAGAUCAGCAGAUCCUUUUCCCACCUCCCCAGACUUCCUGUGGGCCACUCACUUUGUGCACAGUUCCGAAGACGCCCGAGCCCAGCACUUUAAGCUUCUUCAGCUCUGUUUCUUUGAAGAUUCUGGCCGAGACUUUGUUAGCCUUCUCACUGGGAUCCAGAGGCUCUACGCUCUGGAACCGAUGGGAAGGAGGUACUCAGGAAAGCCCACUCCCAUGUCCCUCUCCAACCCCCUCCCCAUAGGUGGAUGCCAAGAGCAGCAAAGCCCAAAGGGGUGGGAGCAGGAAGAGGAAUGUCUCUAGUCUUGGAAAGCAUUGCAGGCAUAUGGGGGAAUAAAAGACCUGAGGAUUGA